rnacentral:rRNA from 1 species
GAUGAACGCUGGCGGCGUGCCUAAUACAUGCAAGUCGAGCGAAUGGAUUAAGAGCUUGCUCUUAUGAAGUUAGCGGCGGACGGGUGAGUAACACGUGGGUAACCUGCCCAUAAGACUGGGAUAACUCCGGGAAACCGGGGCUAAUACCGGAUAACAUUUUGAACCGCAUGGUUCGAAAUUGAAAGGCGGCUUCGGCUGUCACUUAUGGAUGGACCCGCGUCGCAUUAGCUAGUUGGUGAGGUAACGGCUCACCAAGGCAACGAUGCGUAGCCGACCUGAGAGGGUGAUCGGCCACCCUGGGACGGAGACACGGCCCAGACUCCGACGGGAGGCAGCAGUAGGGAAUCUUCCGCAAUGGACGAAAGUCUGACGGAGCAACGCCGCGUGAGUGAUGAAGGCUUUCGGGUCAUAAAACUCUGUUGUUAGGGAAGAACAAGUGCUAGUUGAAUCAGCUGGCACCUUGACGGUACCUAACCAGAAAGCCACGGCUAACUACGUGCCAGCCGCCGCGGUAA